GUAGGGGCCAAACGUUUGUCCGGAUUUAUUGGGCGUAAAGGGCUCGUAGGCGGUUCAACAAGUCGAUCGUGAAAGCCCGGGGCUCAACCCCGGGACGCCGGUCGAAACUGUUGUGACUAGGGUCCGGUAGAGGUGAGUGGAAUUCUCGGUGUAGCGGUGGAAUGCGCAGAUAUCGAGAGGAACACCAGUUGCGAAGGCGGCUCACUGGGCCGGUACCGACGCUAAGGAGCGAAAGCAUGGGGAGCAAACAGGAUUAGAUACCCUGGUAGUCCAUGCCGUAAACUGUGAACACUAGGUGUGGCGGAUCUAUUGAUGUCUGCCGUACCGUAGCUAACGCGUUAAGUGUUCCGCCUGGGGAGUACGGCCGCAAGGCUA
rnacentral:rRNA from 1 species